rfam:Poecilia formosa, whole genome shotgun sequence.
GUAGGGUAUGGAGAUAUCUAUCCCAAAACUCUGUUGGGAAAGAUUGUGGGGGGAUUGUGCUGUAUUGCUGGAGUGCUUGUAAUUGCGCUACCCAUUCCCAUUAUUGUGAAUAAC